rnacentral:tRNA from 1 species
GCAUCUGUAGCCUAGUGGAUAAGGCAGCAGCUUCCGAAGCUGAAGAGCGGGGGUUCGAGUCCCUUCAGAUGCA